rnacentral:rRNA from 1 species
AACCCGGAGAUAGCUGGUUCUCCUCGAAAUAGCUUUAGGGCUAGCCUCGUAUUAGAUAACUGGAGGUAGAGCACUGAAUGGGCUAGGGGGCCCAAAGCUUACCGAACCCUAUCAAACUUCGAAUGCCAGGAUAUUGAUGUACGGGAGUCAGUCCGCGAGAGAUAAGUUCCGCGGGCAAAAGGGGAACACCCCAGACCUACUGCUAAGGUCCCAAAGUGCGCGUUAAGUGGAGAAGGAUGUGUGAUUGCACAGACAACCAGGAUGUUGGCUCAGAAGCAGCCAUUCAUUCAAAGAGUGCGUAAUAGCUCACUGGUCGAGUGGUCAUGCGCCGAAGAUGUACCGGGGCUCAAACGCGCCACCGAAGCAUGGGAUUCGCGCAAGCGAGUGGUAGAGGAGCAUUGAAUCAGGGCAGAAGCUGGAGCGAGAGCACGAGUGGACUUGAUUCAAGAGAGAAUGCCGGUAUGAGUAGCGAGAGGCAAGCGAGAAACUUGCCCGUCGAAAGCCUAAGGUUUCCUGGGGAAGGUUCAUCCGCCCAGGGUAAGUCGGGACCUAAGCCGAGGACGGAAGUCGUAGGCGAUGGACAGCAGGUUGAGAUUCCUGCACCGCCUUGAGAAUGAUGCAAUGACACAGAAGGAUAGCAUGAGCCGGGUGAUGGUCAACUCGGUUUCCAAAGCGAGGGCGUCUGGUAGUGAAGUACGCCAGACACACAGCCUGAGCCGAAGAGGGAGCGAAAUUCAAGUAGCGAAGCAUGCGAUUUCACGCUGGCGAGAAAAGUUGCUGGUAUAUCGAAGAGGCGCCCGUACCGCAAACCGACGCAGGUAGGCGAGGUGAGAAUCCUAAGACGAACGGGAGAACCCUUGUUAAGGAACUCGGCAAAAUGACCCCGUAACUUCGGGAGAAGGGGUGCCGAUGGAAACAUCGGUCGCAGAGAAAAGGCUCAAGCGACUGUUUAGCAAAAACACAGGUAUCUGCGAAAGCGAGAGCUGACGUAUAGGUGCUGACACCUGCCCGGUGCUGGAAGGUUAAGGGGACAUGUUAGCGAAAGCGAAGCAUCGAACCGAAGCCCCAGUAAACGGCGGCCGUAACUAUAACGGUCCUAAGGUAGCGAAAUUCCUUGUCGGGUAAGUUCCGACCCGCACGAAUGGUGUAACGAUUUGAGCGCUGUCUCAACAGGGGGCCCGGUGAAAUUGAAGUAUGGGUGAAGAUGCCCAUUACCCGCGACUGGACGGAAAGACCCCGUAGAGCUUGACUGUAGCCUGAUAUUGGAUUUCGGUAACGGAUGCACAGGAUAGGUGGGAGGCUAGGAAGGCAGGACUCCGGUCUUGUUGGAGCCGCCGUUGGGAUACCACUCUUCUGUUGCUGGAAUUCUAACAUGGCGCCGUGAAACCGGUGAAUGGACAGUGUCAGGUGGGCAGUUUGACUGGGGCGGUCGCCUCCGAAAGAGUAACGGAGGCGCCCAAAGGUACCCUCAGAAUGGAUGGAAACCAUUCAAAGAGUGUAAAGGCAGAAGGGUGCUUGACUGUGAGAGUGACAACUCGAUCAGAUACGAAAGUAGGGCUUAGUGAUCCGGCGGUAUUGAGUGGAAAAGCCGUCGCUUAACGGAUAAAAGCUACCUCGGGGAUAACAGGCUGAUCUCCCCCAAGAGUCCACAUCGACGGGGAGGUUUGGCACCUCGAUGUCGGCUCGUCGCAUCCUGGGGCUGAAGCAGGUCCCAAGGGUUUGGCUGUUCGCCAAUUAAAGCGGCACGCGAGCUGGGUUCAGAACGUCGUGAGACAGUUCGGUCCCUAUCCAUCGUGGGCGUAGGAAUCAUGAGAGGAGCUGUUCCUAGUACGAGAGGACCGGAAUGGACGCACCACUGGUGCAACUGUUGUCGUGCCAACGGCAUAGCAGGGAAGCGAAGUGCGGAUGGGAUAAACGCUGAAGGCAUCUAAGCGUGAAGCCCACCUCGAGAAUAAGAUUCCAGGCAGCAAUGCGAGAGACCCCUGGAAGACUACCAGGUGAUAGGUCGUCGGUGGAAGCGCAGUAAUGUGUGUAGCUUGACGAUACUAAUCGGUCGAUAGCUUGAUUU